GAGGCAUGCAACGGCUGUCGCUGACCAAAAGUCGUGCACGCCAGGGUGUGUCCUCUCACAUAAAAUCCAUCUCACCCUCUUGUGCACCACCGCGUGGGCACCCUUCGGGGUCGAACAGAUCCAGGAGGGGGCUCGCGUUUUCACACAAACCCCUUUUUAAAAGUGUAGAAUGACCCCACUUUUGCGAUAACACGCAAUCAAUACAACUUUCAACAACGGAUCUCUUGGCUCUCGCAUCGAUGAAGAACGCAGCGAAAUGCGAUACGUAAUGUGAAUUGCAGAAUUCAGUGAAUCAUCGAAUCUUUGAACGCACCUUGCGCCCCUUGGUAUUCCGAGGGGCACACCCGUUUGAGUGUCGUGAAAAUCUCAACCUUCUCGGUUUCUUCUGAACACCGAAGGAGGCUUGGACUUUGGAGGCCUUUGCUGGUGUCUCUCACCAGCUCCUCUCAAAUGAAUUAGCGGGGUCCUCUUUGCCGAUCCUCGACAUGUGAUAAGAUGUUUCCAUGUCUUGCUUUAUGGCUCUGUUGCCUUUGGGACCCGCUUCUAACCGUCUCAGCGAGACAACGUUCGAGCGUGUCUCCCCUCUCGGGGAAACACUCUUGAACCCACGAAACCUUGACCUCAAAUCGGGUGAGACUACCCGCUGAACUUAAGCAUAUCAAU
rnacentral:rRNA from 1 species